GACGAACGCUGGCGGCGUGCUUAACACAUGCAAGUGGAGCGACGAACCGGGGGCUUGCCCCGGGGCAGAGCCGCGAACGGGUGAGUAACACGUGGGUAACCCACCCCGAUGACCGGGACAACCCGAGGAAACUCGGGCUAAUACCGGAUGUGCUCCUUGACCUCGAGGUCAAGGCGUAAAGAUAGCUUCGGCCUUCGCAUCGGGACGGGCCCGCGGCCCAUUAGCUUGUUGGUGGGGUAAAGGCCUACCAAGGCGACGANGGGUAGCUGGUCUGAGAGGACGAUCAGCCACACUGGGACUGAGACACGGCCCAGACUCCUACGGGAGGCAGCAGUGGGGAAUCUUGCGCAAUGCGCGAAAGCGUGACGCAGCAACGCCGCGUGGGGGAAGACGGCC
rnacentral:rRNA from 1 species